rnacentral:rRNA from 1 species
GAUGAACGCUGGCGGCGUGCCUAAUACAUGCAAGUCGAGCGAACAGACGAGGAGCUUGCUCCUCUGACGUUAGCGGCGGACGGGUGAGUAACACGUGGAUAACCUACCUAUAAGACUGGGAUAACUUCGGGAAACCGGAGCUAAUACCGGAUAAUAUAUUGAACCGCAUGGUUCAAUAGUGAAAGACGGUUUUGCUGUCACUUAUAGAUGGAUCCGCGCCGCAUUAGCUAGUUGGUAAGGUAACGGCUUACCAAGGCGACGAUGCGUAGCCGACCUGAGAGGGUGAUCGGCCACACUGGAACUGAGACACGGUCCAGACUCCUACGAGAGGCAGCAGUAGGGAAUCUUCCGAAAUGGGCGAAAGCCUGACGGAGCAACGCCGCGUGAGUGAUGAAGGUCUUCGGAUCGUAAAACUCUGUUAUUAGGGAAGAACAAAUGUGUAAGUAACUAUGCAUGUCGUGACGGUACCUAAACAGAACGCCGCGGCUAACUACG